rnacentral:misc_RNA from 1 species
AAUUCUCAACUACCCCAGGCUUGUGGGUGAAGUUGGACUUGGAGGUAUGCUGGCGCAUGAAUGGGCUUUGUGCCCUGCCAUGCUUGUCGGCUCCUCUCGAAUACAUGAGCUUUCCGAUCCUUGGCAAAGUAUCGUCGAUGUGAUAAUUAUCUAUGUCGCCCGAGAAAGCCGAAAAGGGGAAAUCUUUGAUCACGCUGGGGUGACCCGCGUCUGACAA